rnacentral:sRNA from 1 species
ACACGGGUUUGACACGCCGAGUGGGUCUGUUGAGA